rnacentral:rRNA from 1 species
UGCCAGCAGCCGCGGUAAUACGGAGGGUGCAAGCGUUGUCCGGAUUUAUUGGGUUUAAAGGGUGCGUAGGUGGUUUGAUAAGUCAGUGGUGAAAUGUAACAGCUCAACUGUUAAAGUGCCAUUGAUACUGUCAGACUUGAGUAUCGUUGAGGUAGGCGGAAUUUAUGAUGUAGCGGUGAAAUGCAUAGAUAUCAUAAAGAACACCGAUAGCGAAGGCAGCUUACUAAACGAUAACUGACACUGAGGCACGAAAGCGUGGGGAGCGAACAGGAUUAGAUA